GUAUAUGUGGUGUAGUGGUUUCAGCAUAGGACUAGGAAUUUGGAGAUCAGGGUUCAAUUGCCUGCUUGGCCA